AUUGAACGCUGGCGGCAGGCCUAACACAUGCAAGUCGGGCGGAUGACGGGAGCUUGCUCCUGGAUUCAGCGGCGGACGGGUGAGUAAUGCCUAGGAAUCUGCCUGGUAGUGGGGGACAACGUUUCGAAAGGAACGCUAAUACCGCAUACGUCCUACGGGAGAAAGCAGGGGACCUUCGGGCCUUGCGCUAUCAGAUGAGCCUAGGUCGGAUUAGCUAGUUGGUGAGGUAAUGGCUCACCAAGGCGACGAUCCGUAACUGGUCCGAGAGGAUGAUCAGUCACACUGGAACUGAGACACGGUCCAGACUCCUACGGGAGGCAGCAGUGGGGAAUAUUGGACAAUGGGCGAAAGCCUGAUCCAGCCAUGCCGCGUGUGUGAAGAAGGUCUUCGGAUUGUAAAGCACUUUAAGUUGGGAGGAAGGGCAGUAAGCGAAUACCUUGCUGUUUUGACGUUACCGACAGAAUAAGCACCGGCUAACUCUGUGCCAGCCGCCGCCGUAAGAC
rnacentral:rRNA from 1 species